ACCUCUCAACCCGCCCUUUUCUUAAUGAAGAGGUGUCGGUGCUUGGAUUUUGAGUCUUGCUGUUUAUUCAGCUGACUCGUAAUACAUUAGCAUCUUCGAAUUCGUAAUCGGAUUGACUUGGCGUAAUAGAUUAUUCGCUGAGGAUCACUCGCAAGAGUGGCCGAGAUGAGAUGAGGGAAGCUCCUAAAUCUUUCUACUCGUAGAAAACUUUCAAA
rnacentral:misc_RNA from 1 species